rnacentral:lncRNA from 1 species
GGAAGAGGCGCCCAGAGACUCCUGGGCCCCCUAAGGACUAUCUAUGGCUGGGGUUGCCACAGCAAACUACCUGAGGCAGCGUGGCUCAAACAAACAAACAAACACGAUUGUCUGGCAGUCCUGGAGGCCAGAAGUCCAAGGUCAAGGUGGGCAGCGCUGGUUCCUCUGAGGCCUCUCCUCUUGGCUUGCACACAGCCACCCUCUUGCUGCCCGGCGUCGCUUCCUCUCCUUACAAAGCUGGCACCACCCAUCCUGGAUCCUGUACUGUGGGGCAUUAGGGCCCCACCCCCACGACCUCAUUUUAACUCAGCCCUCUCUUUGAAGGCCUUGCCUCCAAACUGUUACCCUCGAGGCCCUGGAGUGAGGGCUUCAACAUGUGCUUCGGGCCGGGGACACAAUCCGGCCAUAACAGACUGUGACUCACUGGGUUCGGUUCUCUUCAGCAUCCAGGACAGCUGAAGACAUCAUCCGAGGAGAGGCGGGUGGCUGGCCUAGCAAUGUGGUCCUGGCAUGGCAGAGAGGCAGGAGGGGCGGCUUAAACGGAAGCAGGGCAGGAUGGAGCCAGCAGCCCCCAGAACUUGGGCUCCACUCUGGAAGCCACUGAGAAGCCCUGUGGCAACCAAACAGAAGUCUUUCUGAGUAUCAGAUAGCUGGCCUGUCCCUCCCCGGCAGACUCAGCUGUACAGAAG